UUUUUUUUGGGUAAUGUUCAAUUAAUUGUUGAAAGUGGAUGGGUUGCUGUUUUUGUUGUUCUUCCAUGGGGACUUUUCUUGCUAGCGUUAACUUGGAGGGAUCCCUUUACUUUUGGUUUUUCUUUCUUAUUUGCAUCGACUUAGUCCUUAUACUUUUAAUGAUAUUAUGGAUAAGUUUUUGAGUAAAACAUUUUACCAAAAGUUAGAUCAAAAGCAACUUAUGCAUAAAAUAUGGGCACUUCUGUAAGUACAUGGUUUAAACCGUAUACAAAGAAGUUAAAAAAUGAAAAAAAAUCAUAACAGAAAGUUUAGGAAAUGAAGGUUCUUAUCGGGAGAUGGUUAGACUUUGUUUCAUGAAACCAGAACCCAACAAUUUUUGGCCAAAGACCCCUAAAAAAUCCAUGGCUAAAAGGCACCAGGUGUGCACCUCACAUAAAGAGGUGAAGCACAAUUCUCUUGCUUGAGGGUGAUGUAUGCCAAGUCAUACUUUAAAUCAUUGCAAGAAUCCAAAGCCAUAUUAUCUCAAGAAUUAGUAUUAAUUUUGGGUUUUGGCUGUUAUAGCUAUCUUCUCCAAAAACAUUAGGCUAAGCAUAAUUCAUUUCAUAUAUAUUGUCAUCCACAUUUACAAUCAUCAUUAUUAUUAUUUUCUAAGGACAAUUCGUACAAAAGACAAUAUGGAAACAGAGACUAACCUAAAGAAAAGGAGCCACCAAAAACAGAAAAAGUUUUUGCAGAAGCUGUAUAUUGAAAGGAUGAAGAGUCCCGCUUAGGUGCCUUGCUUUGAUCAAAGGAAGUGGUCAACGAAGUAAAGGUCCAUUUUACAGGUUCUUUGCUAAUGAAAUUUCUUAUGUGGAAGGUUAGGUGGCUAAGGUCCAAGAAGCUGAAUGAAUAGUCGUCUUAUUUUUUUUUUUUUUU